UCGAAAUACUCGAAGUACGUGGGAUUUAGAGCGUAAAGCCUCAAUAGGUCCAUGUUACAAAAAAACUUUGCCGUUUGGAGAGCCAUCUGGAAUAUCAAUAUUUUUGCCUAAGAAGUCUUCAAAAAGUCUCAAAGAUAACGUUACUUUUGUUAAAUCGGGAAUCAGUUUGAUCUUGUCAAAGAAAAAUUUUGAAACAAAGGAGUUUGAACUCCCAAAAGACAGCGAUAAAAUUACAAGAAAAAAGAAUCACAUCGAUAUCAAAGUGGAAGAAGGCCAAUGUGAUACUAUAUUUGGUAACAUUAAAGGGAAAUUGGAAUACUUGCGUGGAAGGAUAAAACAUGCGCUGCACAUGUAGUCUGGCUGUCACGAGUACAUUUUUUUUUUACUCCAUCAUCAUAUUCAUAUCAACCCCCUCCCCAAUUUGCGAAUCACCAACAAUCCUUAAAUUCCUAAAUUCCUCUGGUGUUCCGGGUGUUCAUGGGCAG